CUUAGAAUAUCAUUGUGUUUAAAAAACAGCCCUAAGAAGAGGUGAUCAAGCUAAAAUGAGGGAGUUUCAGUGGAACUAAAUCUAAUAAGAUUGCUGCCCUUAUAAGAAGUGGAAUUUCCUUAUAAGAGCUGGAAACUUGCACAAGGAGAGACACAAGAAUUAUGUAUGUAUAGAAGCAGCCCCAUGGGAAACACAGCAAGAAGGUGUCAGCAGGUUCAGUUUUUCUGGGGCCUGUCUGCUUGGUAUCUAGAUAUCUGCCUUCUUGCUGUGUCCUUACAUGGGGCUGCCUCUGUGCAUAUGCACUUCUCAAGUCUCUCUGUCUGUGCACAUUUCCAAUUCUUAUAAGAACUCCAUUCUGAUUGGAUUUUGUCCCACUGUAACACCCUCAUUUUAAGUUGAUCACCUCUUUUUAGGCUCUUUCUCUAAGUGCAAUCAUAUUCAAAGGAAUAAAGGGUUGGCCUUUCAACAUAUGAAUAUAGGGAACAGAAUUCAGCCCAUAACACCACCCAAUCCCUUUUCAGUAAAUGACUGAUGUUUCCUUCAGUUAUUCAAAUAUAUGGGAGUCACAUUUGCCUUUUUCUUCCCUAGGUCAGGUCCAUUAGAAAAUUCAGUGGAUUCCACCUCAAAAUAUAUUGCAGUAUGAUCACUUGCAUAUUCUCUGGCACAUGGCUCUUGUAUGUGCCGUGAUUCUCUCUCCCGGAGGAUGUCAACAGCCUCCAUCUGGUCUUUGUAACAUUCUUGUUACAUCUCAUACCAAUUCUCCCCACAGUAGUCAGAGUGAUCUUUUACAAAUGGAAAUGAGAUCAUAUAAAUUGUGUGCUUCAAAUCUUCUACGGUUUUUUUGUUUUACUUGUAAGAAGAUCUAACAUACCUGAGCUAUUUCAUACCCACAUGGCUCUCCCUUACUUGAAUAGUGGGAGGUUCUUUAAAUGGGACAUAAAGAAGAACCUUCUUCAACUUCACCAUACGCUAGUUUGUCUGGAACACUAAAAGGUGGAUAACCAGGUAAAAUGAAAUUUGACCACAUGGAUUAACUCCUGCUGAGAUCAUGUGAAUGGCAUUGAGUCCCUGUGGUGUGAGAGGAGUUCAUGUGAAUUGGGAGAAUCCUUCUGUCCAUUGAAUCAACUAAGUGUUCUCCUGAUAUAAUUAGCAAUUAAAAAUAAUUCUCUGUGAGGAUUAAUUUUGCAUAGAUUUAUCUAACAAUUGUGGCUACACUUUUAUGAUACUGGACCAUAUAUUUUAAUACUACAUGUUGUCUUCAUAAAAAUAUAUUUCACAAAUAGUUUAGUGGUUUUCAUAUUCUAUGAGCCUAUUGUAGCCAUGACUAAUUAUAAUAAAAAAACUAUUAUGCAUUACUAAUGCCAUUUAAUCUUCUGAAUCAUCUUAUUCAGUAGGAGUAAUUUUUAUCCCUAUGUCAAUUUUAUUAGAAUGUGACAUUAAUUUUAUUUCAUUAGGACAUGGUCUUCAUUCACAGACCCAUGUCUUCCUCUUACAGACAGGACAGGUAAUGUUACUCCUCUCAACAUUGUUUCAGGGGUACAUGGAGGCAGUUAUCCAUGAUAUGGUAAUGUUGUUUAUUCUAGACUUUUGUAAAGGGUGUGUAUGAAUUUCUGGAACAUUAGAUAAUAUUACAUGUACUUAUACCUUAUAGCAUGUAUAUGGAAUAGCUUAAGUGACAAAACAAAAAUGGUACAUGUUGAAUUUGAGGUUGUUCUGCAUUUGCGCGUUUGAGUAGUUACUUCCUUGGAGUGUUGUGCGGUCUUGGUAAUAAGACACUGUGAA
rnacentral:lncRNA from 10 species